rnacentral:rRNA from 1 species
UACGUAGGGGGCUAGCGUUGUCCGGAAUCAUUGGGCGUAAAGAGCGUGUAGGCGGCUCGGUAAGUCCGCUCUGAAAGCCCGGGGCUCAACCCCGGGAGGCGGGCGGAUACUGUCGGGCUAGAGUCCGGAAGAGGCGAGUGGAAUUCCUGGUGUAGCGGUGAAAUGCGCAGAUAUCAGGAGGAACACCAAUAGCGAAGGCAGCUCGCUGGGACGGCACUGACGCUGAGACGCGAAAGCGUGGGGAGCAAACAGG